AUACUUCCCUGGCAGUGGAGAUGCCAUGAUCAGGCAGGUGGUUUCCCCAGGUGAGGCUCACCCAUUGCACUUGGGCUGUGCUGACCCCUGCGAUUUCCCCAAAUGUGGGAAACUCAACUGCAUAAUUUGUGGGGUAGUGGGAUACUGCGUUUGCGCUCUGCCCUG